GACGAAAGAAGAAGCAGCCAUCACAAGCAGAACCAGACUGAAAGAUGACAAGCUAUAAAGCAAUAAUGAUAAUAUAUGUUGUGUUACUUCUGGUCGCAGAUAUAAAGGCUCAAGAUGGUAACGAUAUAUUUCCAGAGCCAGUGAAGAGAAAUCAAGGCAUACCAAAAGAAGUGACAGAAACGAAAGAUUUGGUACCAGAUCAAGAGACAGAAAAGAGAAUAUACGGAGGAAGAGGAGGUGGCCGUUUCUAACUACUUGCGGUUGGGCUGUAAACCAGGAAGCUGAUAUAUCGCUAACCAUGGCAUGUCAAUAUACUGAUAACAAACACAUUGGAAUAAAGUAGUGUAGUACGCUUGAUAUAAAAUGUACUUGUAGUAUUUAAUAAAGUAGAGAGAAACAAG